rnacentral:misc_RNA from 1 species
UUUGCUAGGUAGUUUAUGUCCACUUUCUCAGGGGGCGUCUUGUAGUUGAAGAUCACCGGAAUCAAAAGCGGACCGUGACACCUCUCAUCCUUCUCUCUGUCGAUGUCAAUACUAAUGCCGUCAAUGGUUACGGACGUUACAGUAUUUGCAGUAUUGGAGCUCUGAACUCGGAUGUUUACACGUGGAUUUGUUUCGAUAAAUGUGUGCAAUCCCGAAUGACUCGCAACGCGUUCACAUUAAUAUGGAAAAAAAGUCUACUAAAAAGAGACAUAAUUACGAGAACAAGAUCAUUCUGGCACCCAUGGUACGCAUCAGUACCCUUCCGAUGCGUUUGCUCGCUCUGGAUUAUGGUGCGGAUAUAGUUUAUACUGAGGAAUUGAUCGAUUGGAAAUUACUUCGUUCGAUUCGUCGAGAAAAUGAUGUCUUAGGCACUAUUGAUUACAUUGAUAAGACAGAUGGUACUGUGGUAUUUCGUACUUGUCCCCGGGAACGAGAGCAUGUUGUUCUUCAAAUUGGUACCUCCGACCCAGCAAGAGCGGCUGAAGUUGCUCAUAUGGUAGAAAAUGAUGUUGCAGGCAUAGACGUUAAUAUGGGUUGUCCAAAGAAAUUUUCAAUGCUUGGUGGAAUGGGUGCUUCUCUUUUAUCUGAUCCACAAAAAGCAACCAAUAUUUUACGGAAACUGAUAGAAACAGUAACUAUACCGAUCACUUGCAAAAUACGCGUUCUGCCUGAGCUCAAGGAAACUCUUAGGCUUUGCAACACUCUUGCCUCUACUGGUAUCGCAGCCAUUGCCAUUCAUGGUCGUACUGUUGAGGAGAGACCGCAGCAUCCCAAUCGUAACCAUAUUCUCAAACAGAUUUCAGCUGCGCUUUCAAUACCAGUUAUCGCGAAUGGUGGCUCCAAAGAUGUUCAAAAACAUUCCGAUAUACUGAGAUUUAAAACAGAAACAGGUUGUAGUAGUGUAAUGCUCGCUCGCGCUGCUGAGUGGAACUGUUCAAUAUUUCGUAAAGAAGGUCUUCUUCCGAUGGAAGAUGUUAUAAAGUCAUAUUUAAAGUAUGCAGUUGAUUGCGACAAUUCACCUUCCAACACAAAGUAUUGUAUACAAAAUAUCCUACGGGAAUUCCAGGAAUCUUCUUUAGGUAGAAAAUUCCUUGAAGCGCAAACACUGGAGCAAAUAUGUGAAUUGUGGAAAUUAGGUGAUUAUUGUCGAUCAAAAAGUAAAGAGUUUCGAGAUAAAGGUUUAUUAGGUCGGUUUCAAAUAACUCCAGGAAUUCUUGAUAAAGAUAUAGAUAAUAUUUCUUAUAAAAGAAAACUGGAAGAGGAAGAUGUUUCUCUGAUGAGUUGUGCUUUUUUGAGAAACAAUUAUUUAACAGACUCAGAUUUACCAAAAACUAGACUACUGAAGUGGACUAAGGAAAAUCAUAAAAAAAUGCCAAUAUAUAAUACUCGGCAAGAGAAUAAGCUUUUUUGUUCUGUUGUUUCUGUUGAUGGCAGGAAAUAUGGUUCCUCUUUUUGGGAAAAAAAUAAAAAAUGGGCCGAACAAGGUGCUGCUUUGGUAUGUCUCUAUUUUCUGGGAAUUAUUGAUGAGAAAAAUCUUACUGCUAGUGGUAAAUGGAAAAAGCGUAAGGACGAUUAUGAUGAAUACAAUGAUGAUGAUUCGAUAGAUAGCAAUGAAGCAGACGGUGUACCAGAUGCGGCAAAAAAUGAUGUAGAAAAACAAGAUGAGUGUGCUAUCGAGGAUGAAUUUGGAGCAAAAGAUUAUCGGUCACAAAUGAUUUUAAAAUCAGAUUGUUCAUCUAGACCAUUAUGGGUGGCACCAAAUGGACAUAUUUUUUUGGAAUCCUUUUCUCCUGUGUAUAAACAUGCUCAUGAUUUUUUAAUAGCUAUAUCAGAACCUGUAUGUCGGCCAGAGCACAUUCAUGAAUAUAAACUAACCGCAUAUUCACUUUAUGCUGCUGUUAGCGUAGGCCUACAAACGCAAGAUAUAAUAGAGUAUCUAAAGAGAUUAAGUAAAACCAGUAUUCCUGAUGGUAUAAUCGAAUUUAUCAAACUGUGUACGUUGUCCUAUGGGAAAUGCUGCAAAGAUUAUUAAAAGAUCCAGUAAUUCAAGAAUGUCGACUGAGAAAGCUUGCAGAAGAUACAGAAACUGAUGAUAUUGUUACAAAUGUUCAAGUUAAAAUAAAAGUUCCUCAGUUUGGAUCAAAAGCACUUAUAAAUACGUCUGUGCCUAGUAAAACGAAUUCAGAGACUGAAUCUGAUCAAAUAUUAACGGAAACAGCUACCAUUCCAGAAGAUAUAACUGCUUUUUACGA